UACGGAGGAGGCAAGCGUUAUCCGGAAUUAUUGGGCGUAAAGCGUCCACAGGUGGCACCUCAAGUCUGCUGUCAAAGACCGGGGCUUAACCCCAGAAAGGCAGUGGAAACUGAAGUGCUAGAGUGCAGUAGGGGUAGAGGGAAUUCCCGGUGUAGCGGUGAAAUGCGUAGAGAUCGGGAAGAACAUCGGUGGCGAAAGCGCUCUGCUGGACUGCAACUGACACUCAGGGACGAAAGCUAGGGGAGCGAAUGGG
rnacentral:rRNA from 1 species